GCUAGUCUCCUACAUAACUUUCUGCUCGGUGGAAUCAAAAUUUAACUCAAUUUUGUGACUAAGGAUAAAGCCAGGGUCCCAUAGGUCUCCCGACAAGGAUCAAAUAGCCUCUAAAUCAACAGGUGUCUCAAUGCUCUUCCCCUUCUGGGCAGCCUUUGGAUUCUCCAUCGUCCUUUCAGGUUUCCUUUUCCUCCUUAAGGCCUAUUCGGAUCUUUCUGCAAAGAACCACCUUGUGAAGAUCCGCCCCGU
rnacentral:lncRNA from 1 species